rnacentral:rRNA from 1 species
AGAGUUUGAUCAUGGCUCAGGAUUAACGCUAGCGGCAGGCAUAAUACAUGCAAGUUGAACGGGAUAGAGUUUAGCAAUAGAUUCUUGAGAGUAGCGCACGGGUGCGUAACACGUAUGCAACCUACCUUUUACUAAGGAAUAGCCCCUCGAAAGAGGGAUUAAUACCUUAUAACACAUUGAUAUGGCAUCAUAUUAAUUUUAAAGCUUUGGCGGUAAAAGAUGGGCAUGCGGCUGAUUAGGUAGUUGGUGAGGUAAUGGCUCACCAAGCCGACGAUCAGUAGGGGGUCUGAGAGGAUGUCCCCCCACACUGGUACUGAGACACGGACCAGACUCCUACGGGAGGCAGCAGUAGGGAAUAUUGGACAAUGGGCGCAAGCCUGAUCCAGCCAUGCCGCGUGCAGGAUGAAGGCCCUAUGGGUCGUAAACUGCUUUUGUACGGGAAGAAACCUCACUACGUGUAGUGAGCUGACGGUACCGUGAGAAUAAGGAUCGGCUAACUUCGUGCCAGCAGCCGCGGUAAUACGAAGGAUCCAAGCGUUGUCCGGAUUUACUGGGUUUAAAGGGAGCGUAGGCGGACUUUUAAGUCAGUGGUGAAAGCUUGCAGCUUAACUGUAAAAUUGCCAUUGAAACUGAAAGUCUCGAGUAUGGUUGAGGUGACUGGAAUAUAUCAUGUAGCGGUGAAAUGCUUAGAUAUGAUAUAGAACACCAAUUGCGAAGGCAGGUCACUAAACCAUAACUGACGCUGAGGCUCGAAAGCGUGGGGAUCAAACAGGAUUAGAUACCCUAGUAGUCC